CUUUAAAUUUUAAAAUUUGUCUUAGUCUAGAUUUUUCCAAAGGUGAACUUGUUAAUGUAUUCCUCGAUACAUGGCUUAGCGUAAUAAAAAAUGGGUGCCAUGUGGCAUCUAACAAUAAAUGUUAGUCAGUUUUGGUAAUUAAAAGCUAACCGUAAAAGUUUGUCCUUCAGCUCCUUCAGCAUCAGUAUUCCAGUUCUGGGUAUUCAUCGUAGAGUGCCACUCCAUCCUUGAUGUUGAAGCAUCCCUGCGAUUAGUAAGGUUUCUAUUGAAAAUUUGGAGGGUCUUGAAUUAGCAUAGAAGGUUUCCUAGUUGUUGCCGAGAGUUGAAUAAGUUUCCAUCAAACACACCUACUACAGCUCCUUCAGCAUCAGUAUUCCAGUUCUGGGUAUUCAUCGUAGAGUGCCACUCCAUCCUUGAUGUUGAAGCAUCCCUGCGAUUAGUAAGGUUUCUAUUGAAAAUUUGGAGGGUCUUGAAUUGCAUAGAAGGUUUCCUACUUGUUGCCGAGAGUUGAAUAAGUUUCCAUCAAACACACCUACUACAGCUCCUUCAGCAUCAGUAUUCCAGUUCUGGGUAUUCAUCGUAGAGUGCCACUCCAUCCUUGAUGUUGAAGCAUCCCUGCGAUUAGUAAGGUUUCUAUUGAAAAUUUGGAGGGUCUUGAAUUGCAUAGAAGGUUUCCUAGUUGUUGCCGAGAGUUGAAUAAGUUUCCAUCAAACACACCUACUACAGCUCCUUCAGCAUCAGUAUUCCAGUUCUGGGUAUUCAUCGUAGAGUGCCACUCCAUCCUUGAUGUUGAAGCAUCCCUGCGAUUAGUAAGGUUUCUAUUGAAAAUUUGGAGGGUCUUGAAUUGCAUAGAAGGUUUCCUAGUUGUUGCCGAGAGUUGAAUAAGUUUCCAUCAAACACACCUACUACAGCUCCUUCAGCAUCGGUCUUCCAGUUCUGGUUAUUCAUCGUAGAGUGCCACUCCUAUGCUGGAUGUUGAAGCAUCUCUGCGAUUUGGUUAAUAAGGCUUCUAUUGAAAAUUUGGAGGGUCUUGAAUAGCAUAGAAGGUUUCCUAGUUGUUGCCGAGAGUUGAAUAAGUUUCCAUCAUACCCACCUACUACAGACCAAAUUUCAGGGUAAAGAUUGUACGGCGGGAUCAUCAAUGAGGGGUUUCAAGGAUGCCCGACAAAAGCUAGGGUGGAGGUCAACAAGAUGGGCGGUUGCAAUGAUGUUGGUCCAGGACCCUCCACUGAGGUCCACCUGGAGUCCAUGGAGGAGUACAGGACCCUCCACUAGUGUCCACUUGGGGGUCCAUAGAGGAGUAGAGGAUCCUCCAUUGGGGUCCACAAAUCCAUGUAGAAAGAGAAAGAGAGAGGAAGAGAAGAGAGAGAGAAAGUAGUGAGAGAAUUAAGGUGCUAUUGUUUUUUUUGUGUAAAAUGGUUGGGAAUGCCACCAAUUUGAAGACUCGUCCCCUCUCACUCACUCACUCUUUUUAGUUUCUCUCUCUUCUCUUCUUCUCUCUCUACAAAUUUCGAUGAGCCUAGUGGAGGGUCCCAACUUCUUUUCAUGUGGACCUUGGGUUGACCAUAGUAGAGGGUCCUUACUGGCACUGUUGUUACCCAUCAUGCCGGCCACUCUGGCAUUUGUCGGCCAUCCUUGGACCCCAUUGUUGACAAUAGUAAGGGUCCGGCAAGGUGAGGAAGAAAGAAAUUGGAAAGGGAAAAGACUGCUACCUCGGCUUUGGCAAGGCUACGACAGUGACACCAGUAAGGUUCUUCCGAAAGAAGAAGAAAGAGAAACUAUGAUCGACAAUGAGGCUCGAAGGCGUAUCGGGUACGUUUAAAUAAAGGCAGAGGCUAGGGUUUCCUAGCCUCGAUUGCUUGAGAUCUCUGACUCACACCAGGAGCCAUCAAAGGAAAGCGACUCCCAUCAAGAGGCUAUGUCAAAAUUAUAGUGUUAAUGAGAUAACAACUUGCUUAGUUUCCACAAAUUGCAUCUUGAGCCAAAUUUAUGGUAUAUUAUUAAAGGAAAGAGGUGUGUUCCUUAUUUGAUUUCGUCCAUCAAUUUUAUAACCAGGAUACCCUUAGUGUCUCUCUUCAUCAAUUUUACACCUCUAUCUUUUAUCUACACAGUUUUUCUAGACAUUUCAAACUAAUGUUUUACCUCUCUAUCGACCAAUGUUUUGAACUCUUUUUCUCAUCAACCUAUUGUUUGAUAUGCAUUGGACAUGCUUGGAUUGCCAGUAUCUAAGUAAUACAUGUAAUUGAAGGGCAAAUAACCUAAGGUUUCUUGACAUGAAAAACACACCUCUUGAACCAAGUCAAAUUACUUGAGGCUGAACAUAGAAGACAAGCAACUUGCUACGUCGUCCCUCUAUGGUCCGUGAAUAGUUUCUAGCAAAAGGCCACCGAGGUGUUAUUCGGUCAAAGAUCCCUCUCCUACUCCGAUAGUGACCAACAAUGGUGCAAGUGCUUCCAAGGUGGUCCAAACCGCCGGCUCAAACUUCGCAACUGAUGACUCAAAUGAGUGGACUUUGGCAACUAAGACUAGUUAAUGUUGUAAACUUGGUAAGUUUCCUCCCUCAAAUCAUGGUACCAUAGUUUUUCUAUGUUGUCCUACUUUCCCUCUGAUAUGGAUGUCGAGCAAAUCCCGCACACCAUGCAUGUGGAGCCGAAAUCAUUUUCCAAAUCUGUAAAGAUGAUUUUAAAAGUUCAAAUUCAAAAGCCAACUUGUCUAGGAAAGUUUUUCCUAAGAAGACACCUUUUGAAGGUGCAACCGAAACUUGAUCGACUAUGUACAAUUGGCAAGAAGAAUCAAGUUAGUCGAAGGAAGUCAAUGUCCUUGCUUGAAGAGAGACAAGUUGAUGACUCCCUUGUUUCAUUGCUCUAUUAGGCCUUUAAGAAAACAUUUCCAAUUCCAACUCUUCCGCUGCUACUUUAAUCGGGCCCAAGUUGUCAGGCAAUCACUCAGAAGCUCUUAUAGGAAGCAAGAACCUUGCUUGUCCACUCAUGCUACCUUCCCACGUUGUCUCUAUGCCAUUGGAUCUACCAACUUGGUCUCCCCCUUGAGAGGUACAUGUCGACUAGGGGCCGGAUGGAUGGCAUUCUGAUCUCACAGCAACAGCGGCAGAACGGUACUGGACCUACGGGUGGAUCACUAGGUGCCGAUGGACAAAUUUGUGAUGUUCAACCAACUUCGGGAUUGUCGGAUCAAUAGACCCACUCCUGUUGGUGGAUCUGGAUGUGUUGGCAUCAUGUAUGGUCACUUUAAUGCAUGUUUGGCAAGUUGGUGUCUUGGUUGGCCUCAAACCUUAUGGGUUUUUCAAAACCUCCUGAUUUGCCUGGCUUCGGUCAAUUUGAGGUUUCUCCAUCUUGUUAAGAAGUUACUUUGUGGUGAAAGUGUAGAGAGUAUUUUCAAAAUUGUAUUUCUAAUGAAUUUCUACAUUGAUUUUGAUGUAAGUAGGAGCAUUGUCAAGGGAAAGUCGGGAAUAAUCCUUUGAAAGAUCAAGAAAAAGUAAUAAAUAGAAAGAUUCCGAUUUUCUAAAAUAAUAUUCUAGGUUUCAUUUUAGU